GGUUAAAUUAAAAGUGUGGUAAACCAAAUAUACAGUGCGGUGAAGUGCAAAAACAAAAGAAAAACAAUGUACAAUGCAAAAUUAAUAUAACACAAAAACAACAACGUCAAAAUAAACACAACUCUAACAUUACUAACAAAUUAAAUAGGGCGUGAAACUUAAAAAAUAUACUCGUGGAGUCAGUUAAACUAAAUACAAAUAAAGCUACAAAAACCAACAACAAAUUGAGCAGCGGAAUAGAAGCGACUGAACAACAGAAAGCCCACAGCACCCGUUUUUAUCUAAUUUAACUCCCCAGAAUCGCUGAGAGGAAUCAAACUCCCUCCCGCACUUAUGCCAACAAAUUUUCCAGUCAUCAUAGCACUUGGAAGAAGCCUCCGUCGUGAUGUCAAUCAGAGCCUCCUUCGAUUCAACUUUUAUGUCCUCAAUUAAGUCAAAACGGUGUCCGCAGGAGUAGUCAUGUAAAUUUGCUGAAUAGCUAGAAGUUACACGAACAUAAAUCAGACGAAACUUUAGUGGUUGUGCAGCAAUAUAAAAUUCCUGGAGUUAUUGGAUGCGUUGAUGGUACCCACAUAAACGAGCACAUGUACAUCAAUAAAAAAUGUUACCAUAGUAUUAACGCUAUGGUAAUAUGUGAUCACACUUACAAAAUUUUGGCUAUUAACUGUCAGGUGUUGGUGCAGCCCACGACUCAUUUGUUUGAAAACACUCGGACCAAAGAAGAGUUUUGGAGGAACGACUGCGGCACAACAGGAAUGAAAAUUCAUGGGUUUAAGUCUAUUUUCUUUUUGUUCUUUUAACCACAUUGAUUUUAUUUUUAUUUUAACAGGGGAUUCUGCCUACCCAUUGGAACCAUGGUGCAUAACGCCUUAUAGAAACGCUUCGGAUGGUGCAAGUGAAGCUAUGUUCCAUGAAAUUCAUUCUAAGGCAAGAAGUUUCGUCGAACGAACUAUCGGAAUUUUAAAGGUACGCUGGAGAAUUUUAGGAUAUGGCAAGAAAGGAAGGCACCAUACGAGAAAAGUGUCCUCAGAAUUGCGAUUUUGAUCAAAGAACAGAUAUCGACACUGGGGUAGCGAACCGCCUCAUCGCAAUUGGGCAAACAAUAAGAGAUCAAAUAAAGUACUCUUUGAUAAAUUGAAAAUGAAAAUGUCUUUCA